rnacentral:rRNA from 1 species
UAGGGAAUCUUCGGCAAUGGGGGGAACCCUGACCGAGCAACGCCGCGUGAGUGAAGAAGGUUUUCGGAUCGUAAAGCUCUGUUGUUAAGGAAGAAUGAGUGUGAGAAUGGAAAGUUCAUACUGUGACGGUACUUAACCAGAAAGGGACGGCUAACUACGUGCCAGCAGCCGCGGUAAUACGUAGGUCCCGAGCGUUGUCCGGAUUUAUUGGGCGUAAAGCGAGCGCAGGCGGUUAGAUAAGUCUGAAGUUAAAGGCAGUGGCUCAACCAUUGUAGGCUUUGGAAACUGUUUAACUUGAGUGCAGAAGGGGAGAGUGGAAUUCCAUGUGUAACGGUGAAAUGCGUAGAUAUAUGGAGGAACACCGGUGGCGAAAGCGGCUCUCUGGUCUGUAACUGACGCUGAGGCUCGAAAGCGUGGGGAGCGAACAGG